GCUCGGAAGAUUUGUUAUUCAAGGUCUCUUCAUGUGGAAGAAAAAGAUUUUAUUGUUUCGUAUUGCCUAUUUGCAAAUCUACAGUAUGAAGUGAUAGGAGAGACAAAGAUGGAGGACAACUCGGACGCGGAGAUAAAGAUCUUGGUGGAGGAUGAGUCGACAGCUUCUAAUUAUGUAAAUAAGAAAAGAGGAGAAAACAGGCGUGAGAAAUGUUCAGUGGUGGAGGACAUCUUUUUUGGCUCAAUGCGGGUAGAGGAACGAGAAGAAUCCUCUGGAUUUUCCUCUCCUUAUAGUCUCAUCCGCUGAUGAUAUACAUGAAUUGGAUUUGAAGAAUGCUUGGAAGCCUGGUAAGAUUUGUAAUGCAAGGUAUCUUCAAAAGGAAGAAAAAGAUUCGUGGUUCCUAUUUGCAAAUCUGCACUUUGAAGAGAUUGGACAAACAAAGAUGGAUGAGGACUCGGAUGCUGAGAUAAAGACCUUGGUGUAGGAAGAUUUGUCGAUAGCUUGUAACUAACUGAGUGGCAGGUAACAAAUGUCACAAUAGCUCUAUUAAAGUGAUUGUGUGAUAGUAUUUCUUUGAACGAGAACACAGCUUCCUGUUUUGCCCGUCAACGACGACAAAGUUCCAAGUCUGGCAGUGAGUUCUUCGGACCCGGAUGUGUUUACCUGUCAACAUCCGAUGGCAUUUUUGAUUUUAAGUGUUUCUAGAACAAUCUUAAGAAGUGCAAGUUUCUUUAUUUGAGUUAUCUUCCAGUCUACAUAAAGAAGAUUCAGAUGAUUUGUGCUAGUUAAAGAGAAAAUCGAGGAGGUGAGGAUCUUGGAGGAGUCGACGGGUUCAAACUAGAAUUGUUAGUUUUGAGUGGAUACCUUUGAUAGUAUUGUUUUCUUUUGGAUGAAAUA